rnacentral:tRNA from 1 species
AAAAUCCUAGCUUAAUUAAAGCAUCUGAGUUGCAUUCAGAAGAUGCAGGAUAACACCCUGCGGAUUUUA